rnacentral:snRNA from 1 species
CUUACCUAGUAGAGGAGAUACCACGGUCAGGAAGGAAGUCUUUCCAGGGAACAUGUUAUCCACUGGACUAUAAAUUUCUUUCUUCUACAUUUCUCUUAAGUGUAGAAAAUUUGACCUAUUAAUUCGUGGUUGUGGAGAACUGUGUUCAUAUUUUCUUU